AUUGAACGCUGGCGGCAUGCUUUACACAUGCAAGUCGAGCGGUAGCACAAGGUAUCUUGCUCUCUGGAUGACCAACCGCGUACGGAUGACUUCUGACUGGGACCCUGCCUGAUGGAUGGCUAUAACUACUGCAGACUGUUACUACUUCCGCCCUGCGUCUCAAGACCGAGGAUGUUCACCUUCCGCCCUCUUGCCGUCGCAUAUGCCCAAAUGGCAUUAUCUUGUAGGUGGGGUCAUGCCUCGCCUCGAUCACUAUCUCUACCUAGACUAAGACCAUCACCACUCGCACUGAAACUGAGACCCGACUCCUACUCCUACCGGAGGCGGCAAUGUUUAAUCUUUCACCAUGGGCCCGAUCCUGAUGCGCCCCUGCCGCGAGUGUGGCCAUCGCCUUCUGGUUCUCUUUUGCUUUCAACGAAGAGGACUGUGCCGAUCUUACUACUCUCUUACAUUGCCCUUACACUCAGAACAAGCUCCCUAUAUCUCCGUGCCCGCAGCCAUACUUAUGCUGAAGGCGCUAAUCUUAAUCACAGUUAGUGGACAUUGCGCACGCGCUUUUGCUUUACCGAUGUGAAAUCCCCGGGCUCAACCUGGGAACUGCAUUUGAGACUGGCAAGCUAGAGUCUCUCAGAGGGGGGUGGAAUUCCGCGUGUAGCGGUGAAAUGCGUAGAGAUCUGGAGGAACACCAAUGGCGAAGGCGGCCCCCUGGACUAACACUGACGCUCAUGUGCGAAAGCGUGGGGAGCAAACAGGAUUAGAUACCCUGGUAGUCCACGCCCUAAACGAUGUCUACUACUUGUUCCCGGGAGGCGUGCCUUCCGGAGCCAACGCGUGAAAUAGGCCGCCUGGGGAGUGCGUCCGCAAGCUUGAAACUCAAACGAAGGGACGGGGGCCCGCACACGCGGUGGAGCAUGGGGUUUAAUUAGAUGCAACGAGAAGAACCUUCCUUACUCUCGACAUCCAGAUCACUUUCCAGAGAGGGAUUGGUGCGUUCGGGAACUAUGACACAGGCGCAGCAGGGCCGUGGUCAUCUUGGGUUGUGAAAUGGAGGGUUAAGUCCAGCAACGAGAGCAACCGCUAUCCUUAGCAGCCAGCGGUUCGCCCGGGCACUCAAAGGAGACUGCCAGUGACAAACCGGAGGAAGGUGGGGAUGACGUCAAGUCAUCAUGGCCCUUACGAGUAGGGCUACACACGUCAUACAAUGGCAUAUACAAAGAGAAGCGACCUCGCGAGAGCAAGCCGACCUCAUAAAGCAGGUCGUAGUCCGGAUUGCAGUCUGCAACUCGACUCCAUGAAGUCGGAAUCGCUAGUAAUCGUAGAUCAGCAUGCUGCGGUGAAUACGUUCCCGGGCCU
rnacentral:rRNA from 1 species